AGCAGCCGCGGUAAUUCCAGCUCCAAUAGCGUACAUUAAAGUUGUUGCAGUUAAAAAGCUCGUAGUUGAAUUUCGGGGUCAGUAGGUUGGUCGUGCCACCGGUACGUACUGGUCUCACUGAUUCCUCCUUCCUGAAGAACCGUAAUGCCAUUAAUUUGGUGUUGCGGGGAAACAGGACUGUUACUUUGAAAAAUUAGAGUGUUUAAAGCAAGCUAACGCUUGAAUACAUUAGCAUGGAAUAAUGAAAUAGGACGAUCGAUCCUAUUUUGUUGGUUUCUAGGAUUGACGUAAUGAUUAAUAGGGAUAGUUGGGGGCAUUAGUAUUCAAUUGUCAGAGGUGAAAUUCUUGGAUUUAUUGAAGACUAACUACUGCGAAAGCAUUUUGCCAAGGAUGUUUUCAUUAAUCAAGAACGAAGUUAGGGGAUCGAAGACGAUCAGAUACCGUCGUAGUCUUAACCAUAAACUAU
rnacentral:rRNA from 1 species